rnacentral:lncRNA from 1 species
GUCCUGGGUUGGGAACCUCCCUUUUUAAAUUGACUGGAUCCGCCCCUGAUUGCCCAGCGUAGAUCAGCAUAUCCCUUUAACUAAGCAGUGCACUCUGUUUGCUAUUAUCAUAUCUAUUCCGUUCUGAUUGAUAUAUACGUUUAACUUAUUUAAUACUAGUAGUAAAUAUUGAUGAUCCUUCUUUAAAAAAAAAUAGGCACGUGAACAAUGAUACUACUGUAUAAUAGAACUAUCCUUUUGGCUAGACAUCAAUCAUCAAUCUUUUGAAUCUUUAACCUUCAUCCUAGCCACACAAAUACAUACAGCCAUAGUCGAUGCCUAACAAAAUUCAAGAAAUUCGUAUUUCUUUAUAUCCUCUACUGUAAAAUCCCUACCUGCUUAGGAAUUUUGAAUAAUUGUCAGAGGCGGAUUUAGGGGGGGGCGCAGGGGGCCCGCCCCCCCCCUUUUUGGGAAAAAAUUUGGUUACUUAUAUAGGGAAUCACUGAAGCGUGACUGGAGCGGGCCCCCUCUCAGGUCAGUCAGUGGGCCCCCACUUAUGAAAAUUUCUGGAUCCGCCACUGAUUGUGACCAUUAAACGCAGAUUUGAGAGUCCUCAAAAUUACUGGAAGCCAGUUGAUUGAUUGAUUUUUUUACAACCAGCGUCAAAUAUAUAUGCAAGUUCAGGACCGUUGAAUUUUUUUUGCCAAUAAAUACAAUUUGGAGCUAGGUCCUAUAAUAGGUGUCGUCCAGGACGAAGGUCUGGAAAUUUAAAAAUGCCAUGCAUUGGAAAAUGAGGGAUUAUUGGAUAGGAGCAGAAAAUUUGCCUUUCAGUAGACCAACUACGAACUCAUCAAAGAGUUGCAUUUUCUCUACAACUAAGCAUCGGAUUUAGUCCCCAUUCUGACCAGACGUGACUGCGUAUUUAUACAUCCUGCACAGCCAAACGGACGACCAAUAUUUGCAAGUCGGGUGAAGACAAAGUGGAAAGAUGGUUGAAAACUAACAACAACUAAUUAAAAACUCAUGUGUCUAAGUUUAGGUUCAUUCAAGUUUUUCUUGGUAGAAGUGAAAUGAUCUGAACCAAAGUUCUAGUUUAUAGUUUCAAUAUAAGGUAAAAUCGUAAUAACAUUCAAUUCUAUCCAAUAUUCAAUUCACUAAGGACGAGAGACUAGUGUACACAUGACAUUCGAUAAUUAAAGAGUUUUGACAACUUCACCGGCUUUCAUCUACAGAUAAAGUUGUUCAUUAUUUUUUUUAACAAAAAAAAACUAUUUGUAAAAAAAUAUGUGUAGGCACGUGCCUAAAGUGCCUAACGGCAGCUACGCCCCUGAUCUGAAUUUAUGAA